AGCAGCCGCGGUAAUUCCAGCUCCAAUAGCGUAUAUUAAAGUUGUUGCAGUUAAAAAGCUCGUAGUUGAAUUUCGGGGUUAGUAGGUUGGUCGUGCCACUGGUACGUACUGGUCUCACUGACUCCUCCUUCCUGAUGAACUGUAAUGCCAUUAAUUUGGUGUUGCGGGGAAACUGGACUGUUACUUUGAAAAAAUUAGAGUGUUUAAAGCAAGCUAACGCUUGAAUACAUUAGCAUGGAAUAAUGAAAUAGGACGUUCGAUCCUAUUUUGUUGGUUUCUAGGAUUGACGUAAUGAUUAAUAGGGAUAGUUGGGGGCAUUAGUAUUCAAUUGUCAGAGGUGAAAUUCUUGGAUUUAUUGAAGACUAACUACUGCGAAAGCAUUUGCCAAGGAUGUUUUCAUUAAUCAAGAACGAAAGUUAGGGGAUCGAAGACGAUCAGAUACCGUCGUAGUCUUAACCAUAAACUAUGCCGACUAGGGAUCGGAUGAUGUUAAUUUUUUAAUGACUCAUUCGGCGCCUUACG
rnacentral:rRNA from 1 species